AAGCCACUCUCCAAGACUCCUCACAGUCUGGCUGCCUCCGCAGAUAGGUUUGAGACCUCAGUGAUGUCCUCAUGUGGCUGUGGAUGGGCUAGAGCAAGUACUUGCCUCUGCAAGUUGAAUACUCUGCCAGUCAGUCUCACUACACAACCCUCAAGCUGCUCGAUGCGAACUGACUAAUCAAAAAUCAUCUGGAAUACAGUGG
rnacentral:lncRNA from 1 species